rnacentral:rRNA from 1 species
CCUACGGGUGGCAGCAGUGAGGAAUAUUGGUCAAUGGACGAGAGUCUGAACCAGCCAAGUCGCGUGAAGGAUGACGGCCCUAUGGGUUGUAAACUUCUUUUAUAUGGGAGUAAAAUGUUCCACGUGUGGGUUUUUGUAGGUACCAUAUGAAUAAGGAUCGGCUAACUCCGUUCCAGCAGCCGCGGUAAUACGGGGGGUCCGGGCGUUAUUCGGCUUUAUUGGGUUUAAAGGGAGCGUAGGUGGAUUGUUAAGUGAGUUGGGAAAGUUUGAGGCUCAAACGGAAAAUUGCAGUUGAAACUGGUGGUCUUGAGUACACUAGAGGUAGGCGGAAUUCGUGGUGUAGCGGUGAAAUGCUUAGAUAUCACGAAGAACUCUGAUUGCGAAGGCAGCAUACCGGACUGCAACUGACACUGAGGCUCGAAAGUGUGGGUAUCGAACAGGAUUAGAUACCCGUGUAGUC